rnacentral:rRNA from 1 species
UGGGGGGUAUUGCACAAUGGGGGGAAACCCGUGAUGCAGCAAUGCCGCGUGAGGGAAGAAGGUCUUCGGAUUGUAAACCUAAGUUGUCAGGGACGAACAAAUGACGGUACCUGAAAAGAAAGCUCCGGCUAACUACGUGCCAGCAGCCGCGGUAAUACGUAGGGAGCGAGCGUUGUCCGGAUUUACUGGGUGUAAAGGGUGCGUAGGCGGGUUUGCAAGUCAGGCGUGAAAUACCGAGGCUUAACUUCGGGGCUGCGCUUGAAACUGUAGAUCUUGAGUGAAGUAGAGGUAGGCGGAAUUCCUAGUGUAGCGGUGAAAUGCGUAGAUAUUAGGAGGAACACCAGUGGCGAAGGCGGCCUACUGGGCGAUCACUGACGCUGAGGCUCGAAAGCGUGGGGAGCAAACAGGAUUAGAUACCCUGGUAGU